rnacentral:rRNA from 1 species
UACAGAGGGGGCAAGCGUUGUUCGGAAUUACUGGGCGUAAAGGGCGCGUAGGCGGCCUGUUAAGUCGAACGUGAAAUCCCCGGGCUCAACCCGGGAACUGCGUCCGAUACUGGCAGGCUUGAAUCCGGGAGAGGGAUGCGGAAUUCCAGGUGUAGCGGUGAAAUGCGUAGAUAUCUGGAGGAACACCGGUGGCGAAGGCGGCAUCCUGGACCGGCAUUGACGCUGAGGCGCGAAAGCUAGGGAGCAAACAGG